rnacentral:tRNA from 1 species
GCAGGUAUACCUCAGUGGUAGAGUGCAUGCCUAGCAUGCACAAGGUUCUGGGUUCAAUCCCCAAUACCUCCA